GUCUACGGCCAUACCACCCUGAAUGCGCCCGAUCUCGUCUGAUCUCGGAAGCUAAGCAGGGUCGGGCCUGGUUAGUACUUGGAUGGGAGGCCUUUCUCUGACUGGCUUAUUUUACUUA
rnacentral:rRNA from 1 species